UUCCUUCACAUGCUUACUAAACUCUGCCAAUAAUGCCAGCCUCUCCCCAGGGGUGAAAUCGGUGAUGCAAGGUUUCACCACAUCCAUUCGUCCAUCCAAUAUUUAUUGACCAUGUGCUCUGUGGCAGGCGCUGUGCUCGGCGCAGGGAAGUUUACAGGCCGACUCUGGAGCGCUUCUGGUCUCCGUGGGCCACGCGAGUCUUUUCUAUGGGUGUCAGUUCACUUCAGCUCUCACAACUACCCUACAAGGUCAUCCCCAUUCUACAAAUGAGAAGGGACAGUCUCAGAUAAGGGAGGCGUCUCUUAGCAUCUGUGUGAAGCUUCCUUCUCCAGGGACGCUUUUGUUUCCAAGGUGGACGGCCAGAGGUGAAGGCCCAGGGUGUCGAGGGCCGGGUUGGCACUGAGGCUCCCAAUGCCAGCAGGCAGCAAAGUUAAAGAACAGAAUGACUGUAAUCGGCUUUGUUACUGUUUUUGCAUCUCCUGUGGGCUGUGCCCGGCCUUGUUGACGGUACCCGGGACAGACGGCUCCUCCUGCUGCCCCUUCACAGGCUACCGCCUCCUGAAAACUGACUUCCUUUUGUCAUCUCAAGCCUUACUUAAUGUGAAUGUCCAUGGCUCUCCGAGACAUCUGGGGAAGAGGCUGGCGAUGAGGCCCUCCAAACGACGGAGCCCACGUUCCUGAAGCAUAGACAUUCGUGGCAUACCAGAGGCAGAGUGCAGAGAUGAGAUCCAGUGUUUCUCACCCUCUUCCCUGUACCAACCAGUUCUGCAAGGUGCAAGGUGUCCCUGAAGAACCCUGGCCUGGGGGUACAGUUGAGCCUGCCUGGCAGUGUCUGUGGGCUCUUGGCUCCUUUUGUUGACCUGGGCUUGACCUGCAUCCUGAUUCCUAGCAUUCACGUGCUCACCCCUGAAUUACUCUUCCUCACGAUGCCUUCCUUGUCUGCGCUUUGGCCCUGUUCUUCCUCCCACGUACAAGUCCUGUCAUGGGGGACUUGGGAGAGGCCUAACCUCUUGGAGCAGUGUCAUGGACUCCAGACCCACAAUCAAUCUCUGCCCGUUACGAUCACAUUUUUAAGAGCACAGCAGAAUACAACAGGACAUAUCAUAGUGUUUUCCAUGUCGUAGAGGUUAGCUUUGUUUCCGGAAAGUUGUGUCAGCUUUAUGUGCAUGGCAUGUUCCGGCACAUGGAUUUCUGUUUGGGGAUUUGAGGCAGAUGCAUUUUAAAGCCACUGCUCUAGGGCUGCCCUGACUAAUGCAGCCACUGGCCAUACUGAGCGCUUGGAAUGUGGCCAGUCCAGGCUGACAUGUGCUCUAAGUAUAAAACACACCCAAGAUUUUCAGAGACUUGGUGCACAAAACGUACAUCAUCUCCUUAACAACAUUUAUACUGAUUACAUGUUGUGUUCAUAAUAUUUGGGAUAUGUUAGAUUAAGGAAAAUAUAUUAUUAAAAUUAUUUUCACCUA